rnacentral:lncRNA from 1 species
ACCGAGGUGCGCAGCUUCAUGCAGGCCCAGCUGGGCGGUGGGCUCGUGCUGUUCUCACAGAGAGGUGGGUGCUGAUGGCCAGGCCCUGGGUUCCUGCUGCCUGCAGGGGUGCCCUGAGAUGGGGAGCCAGCUCGGGCCAGCCGGACCCAAUGACUCUGUCUUCAGGAGCCCUGGACGGAGGCAUCUACUUCGGCUUCUCUGAUGACAAGCACACUUCCUCCAGACACUUCUUCCGAGUGAUGGCCCAGAAGCAAGUGCUCCUCUCGCUGGAGGGCAGCCAGACGCUGACUGUCUGGCUGGACGGGGUCCGUCCAGCCACUCAGCAGCCAGAGCCUCAGAGCCAGCUCCAGCGCAGACACCAACUCCUAGCUUCUGCUCUAUGGUGUGGUCCCGGGCUCCCAUCCGGGCCGGCUGUUCCAUGCCCAGCAGGACAGCAUAGGGGAGGACAUGGUGAACUUCACUCAGGCAGAGGCAGAACAGGAGUUGUUCCAUAG